rnacentral:rRNA from 1 species
UGGGGGAUAUUGCACAAUGGGCGAAAGCCUGAUGCAGCGACGCCGCGUGGGGGAUGAAGGCCUUCGGGUUGUAAACUUCUUUUGCUCUGAACAAGGCAUGCUAAUGGGUGUGUUGAGUGUAGGGGUUGAUUAGCGCCGGCUAACUACGUGCCAGCAGCCGCGGUAAUACGUAGGGCGCGAGCGUUGUCCGGAAUUAUUGGGCGUAAAGGGCUUGUAGGUGGCUGGUUGCGUCUGUCGUGAAAGCUCAUGGCUUAACUGUGGGUUCGCGGUGGGUACGGGCUGGCUUGAGUGCAGUAGGGGAGGCUGGAAUUCCUGGUGUAGCGGUGGAAUGCGCAGAUAUCAGGAGGAAUACCGGUGGCGAAGGCGGGUCUCUGGGCUGUUACUGACACUGAGGAGCGAAAGCAUGGGGAGCGAACAGG